GACGAACGCUGGCGGCGUGCUUAACACAUGCAAGUCGAGCGGUAAGGCCCUUUCGGGGGUACGACGAGCGGCGAACGGGUAGAGUAACACGUGGGUGACCUGCCCUCAGCUCUGGGAUAAGCCUGGGAAACUGGGUCUAAUACUGGAUAUGACUCCACGGUGCAUGUCGUGGGGUGGAAAGCCUUGUGCGGCUGAGGGUGGGCCCGCGGCCUAUCAGCUUGUUGGUGGGGUGAUGGCCUACCAAGGCGACGACGGGUAGCCGGCCUGAGAGGGCGACCGGCCACACUGGGACUGAGACACGGCCCAGACUCCUACGGGAGGCAGCAGUGGGGAAUCUUGCGCAAUGGGCGAAAGCCUGACGCAGCGACGCCGCGUGAGGGAUGACGGCCUGUGU
rnacentral:rRNA from 1 species